AUGACGCUCAUCAGCUGGAACUGUCGAGGGAUUGGGCAACCUCAUACAGUUUGGGAGCUCGUGGGCCUAGUGCACACGCAUAAGCCUAAGUUAGUUUUUCUCUCUGAAACUUGGAAAAGCGAUGAUUACGUGAAUAAACUGCGAUGGAGACUAGGUCUCCGGCAUUGUAUUAUGCAACCCGGGAUUGGCAAGAGUGCCGGUAUUGCACUGUUCUAUGAUGAGGAAGUUAAAUGGCGAGGUACUUUUGUUUAUGGUGAACCAAGAUCACAUGAAAGGCACCACAUGUGGGAGCUUCUUCGAAGGAUUAGA
rnacentral:rRNA from 1 species